CCUCCAAAGUGAUUGUGAAUAAAAGUUUUAUUAAUUUAAUCACAGUCAGCAUUGGUGGUU
rnacentral:pre_miRNA from 1 species